CAAGUCGAACGUGAAAGUCUUCGGAUGAGUAAAGUGGCGCACGGGUGAGUAAUACUUGGGUAAUGUACCCAUUCGCUGGGGAUAACUAGACGAAAGUUUAACUGAUACCGAAUAGCCCUGUCUUUUCUCCGGAUUAGAUAGGUAAAGCCGUAAGGCGCGAAUGGAGCAGCCCUCGUCCCAUUAGCUAGUUGGCGGGGUAACGGCCCACCAAGGCUACGAUGGGUAGCUGGUCUAAGAGGAUGAUCAGCCACACUGGUACUGGAACACGGACCAGACUCCUACGGGAGGCAGCAGUUAGGAAUUUUGCACAAUGGGCGAAAGCCUGACCCAGCAACGCCGCGUGAGGGAUGAAGGCCUUCGGGUUGUAAACCUCUUUAAGCAGGGAAGAAAAAAAUGACGGUACCUGCAGAAUAAGCACCGGCUAACUCUGUGCCAGCAGCCGCGGUAAUACAGAGGGUGCAAGCGUUAUUCGGAAUUACUGGGCGUAAAGAGCGCGUAGGCUGUUCGAUAAGUUUGAUGUGAAAGCCCUGGACUCAAUCCAGGAAGUGCAUCGAAUACUGUCGGACUAGAGUAUAGGAGAGGACAACGGAAUUUCUGGUGUAGAGGUGAAAUUCGUAGAUAUCAGAAGGAACAACAGUGGCGAAGGCGGUUGUCUGGACUAUAACUGACGCUGAGGCGCGAAAGUGUGGGGAGCAAACAGGAUUAGAUACCCUGGUAGUCCACACCGUAAACGAUGGAUACUAGAUGUCGGGGGUUCUUGUCCCCUCGGUAUCGUAGCUAACGUGUUAAGUAUCCCGCCUGGGAAGUACGGCCGCAAGGUUAAAACUCAAAGAAAUUGACGG
rnacentral:rRNA from 1 species